rnacentral:rRNA from 1 species
AAAGCGGAGGAAAAGAAACUAACAAGGAUUCCCCUAGUAACUGCGAGUGAAGCGGGAAAAGCUCAAAUUUAAAAUCUGGUGGUCUUUGGCCAUCCGAGUUGUAAUCUAGAGAAGUGUUAUCCGCGCUGGACCGUGUACAAGUCCCCUGGAAUGGGGCGUCAUAGAGGGUGAGAAUCCCGUCUUUGACACGGACUACCAGGGCUUUGUGAUGCACUCUCAAAGAGUCGAGUUGUUUGGGAAUGCAGCUCAAAUGGGGGUAAAUUCAUCUAAAGCUAAAUAUUGGCGAGAGACCGAUAGCGAACAAGUACCGUGAGGGAAAGAUGAAAAGAACUUUGGAAGAGAGUUAAACAGUACGUGAAAUUGUUGAAAGGGAAACGCUUAAGUCAGUCGCGUCUGCCAGGGAUCAACCUUACUUUUGUGAGGCGUACUUCCUGGUUGAUGGGUCAGCAUCAGUUUUGUCGCUGGAUAAAGGUCAGAGAAAUGUGGCACCUUCGGGUGUGUAUAGUCUUUGAUCAGAUACAGUGGCUGGGACUGAGGAACUCAGCGCCGCAAGGCUGUCUUAGGAUGCUGGCAAAAUGGCUUUAAUCGACCCGUCUUGAAACACGGACAAAAG